AGAGUUUGAUCCUGGCUCAGAAUGAACGCUGGCGGCGUGCCUAACACAUGCAAGUCGGAUGUGCCGCAAGGUGCAUGGCAGACGGGUGAGUAACGCGUAGGGAAUCUACCUCUUUGUGGGGAAUAACGCUCCGAAAGGAGUGGUAAUACCGCAUGAGACCGAGUGCUGGGAUGCAUUCGGUGAAACCUGGGGACCGCAAGGCCUGGGGCAAGGAGAGGAUCCUGCGUCUGAUUAGCUAGUUGGCGGGGUAAUGGCCCACCAAGGCGACGAUCAGUAGCCGGCCUGAGAGGGUGAUCGGCCACACUGGAACUGAGACACGGUCCAGACUCCUACGGGAGGCAGCAGUGGGGAAUUUUGCGCAAUGGACGAAAGUCUG
rnacentral:rRNA from 1 species